CCAAGGCGAAGCACCCGAAGGCAUCAAGGAACCGCCGCCUGCAGACCCAGGCGGGCCAAGGCAGCAUCUGCCAAAGCCAGAGUAUGCACCCUGUAGAACUCGGUAAGGCAGAACAGUGACCGCCUUGCACAAAUGCAUGGCCGAAGCCUAAUGCCUCC